rnacentral:rRNA from 1 species
UACAGAGGGGGCAAGCGUUGUUCGGAAUUACUGGGCGUAAAGGGCGCGUAGGCGGCCCGCUAAGUCGAACGUGAAAUCCCUGGGCUCAACCCAGGAACUGCGUCCGAUACUGGCGGGCUUGAAUCCGGGAGAGGGAUGUGGAAUUCCAGGUGUAGCGGUGAAAUGCGUAGAUAUCUGGAGGAAUACCGGUGGCGAAGGCGGCAUCCUGGACCGGCAUUGACGCUGAGGAGCGAAAGCUAGGGGAGCAAACGGG